rnacentral:misc_RNA from 1 species
AACCUAGCACACCUGCGGUGUGUACCUGCGGAAGGAUCAUUAACGAGUUGACAAGUCGGUCGACCGUGCUGGCGGAGACGCAUGUGCACGUCGGUCGCAAAUCUCAUCCACACACCUGUGAACGUAUGGCCUCUGGGUACUUGCGACCUGGGGGCAAACCUUUUUCACCCACUCUGUUUGUAAAGGAAUGUCAUGUGUGCGAAACGCGCAAAAUGAAACAACUUUUAGCAACGGAUCUCA